rnacentral:rRNA from 1 species
AGAGUUUGAUCCUGGCUCAGGACGAACGCUGGCGGCGUGCCUAAUACAUGCAAGUCGAGCGGACAGGUGGGAGCUUGCUCCCUGAUGUUAGCGGCGGACGGGUGAGUAACACGUGGGUAACCUGCCUGUAAGACUGGGAUAACUCCGGGAAACCGGGGCUAAUACCGGAUGGUUGUUUGAACCGCAUGGUUCAAACAUAAAAGGUGGCUUCGGCUACCACUUACAGAUGGACCCGCGGCGCAUUAGCUAGUUGGUGAGGUAACGGCUCACCAAGGCAACGAUGCGUAGCCGACCUGAGGGUGAUCGGCCACACUGGGACUGAGACACGGCCCAGACUCCUACGGGAGGCAGCAGUAGGGAAUCUUCCGCAAUGGACGAAAGUCUGACGGAGCAACGCCGCGUGAGUGAUGAAGGUUUUCGGAUCGUAAAGCUCUGUUGUUAGGGAAGAACAAGUACCGUUCGAACAGGGCGGUACCUUGACGGUACCUAACCAGAAAGCCACGGCUAACUACGUGCCAGCAGCCGCGGUAAUACGUAGGUGGCAAGCGUUUUCCGGAAUUAUUGGGCGUAAAGGGCUCGCAGGCGGUUUCUUAAGUCUGAUGUGAAAGCCCCCGGCUCAACCGGGGAGGGUCAUUGGAAACUGGGGAACUUGAGUGCAGAAGAGGAGAGUGGAAUUCCACGUGUAGCGGUGAAAUGCGUAGAGAUGUGGAGGAACACCAGUGGCGAAGGCGACUCUCUGGUCUGUAACUGACGCUGAGGAGCGAAAGCGUGGGGAGCGAACAGGAUUAGAUACCCUGGUAGUCCACGCCGUAAACGAUGAGUGCUAAGUGUUAGGGGGUUUCCGCCCCUUAGUGCUGCAGCUAACGCAUUAAGCACUCCGCCUGGGGAGUACGGUCGCAAGACUGAAACUCAAAGGAAUUGACGGGGGCCCGCACAAGCGGUGGAGCAUGUGGUUUAAUUCGAAGCAACGCGAAGAACCUUACCAGGUCUUGACAUCCUCUGACAAUCCUAGAGAUAGGACGUCCCCUUCGGGGGCAGAGUGACAGGUGGUGCAUGGUUGUCGUCAGCUCGUGUCGUGAGAUGUUGGGUUAAGUCCCGCAACGAGCGCAACCCUUGAUCUUAGUUGCCAGCAUUCAGUUGGGCACUCUAAGGUGACUGCCGGUGACAAACCGGAGGAAGGUGGGGAUGACGUCAAAUCAUCAUGCCCCUUAUGACCUGGGCUACACACGUGCUACAAUGGACAGAACAAAGGGCAGCGAAACCGCGAGGUUAAGCCAAUCCCACAAAUCUGUUCUCAGUUCGGAUCGCAGUCUGCAACUCGACUGCGUGAAGCUGGAAUCGCUAGUAAUCGCGGAUCAGCAUGCCGCGGUGAGUACGUUCCCGGGCCUUGUACACACCGCCCGUCACACCACGAGAGUUUGUAACACCCGAAGUCGGUGAGGUAACCUUUUAGGAGCCAGCCGCCGAAGGUGGGACAGAUGAUUGGGGUGAAGUCGUAACAAGGUA